UUUUUUUUGUAAGCUGCAUUCCCCAACUCCUUCUCUUUCACCGCUUGAGCUUUCCUCUCCUUCGCUUCUUUCUCCCCUUCUGAGACCUCCAUUGGCUCUGGCUCCGGCUCAGAAACCUUCUCCUCCUUUGUCGGCUCUGGCUUUCUCUCCGGCUGAGGAGGCGGCGCUUCAGCCUCCGGCACCUCCAUAUCUUCUCCAGCAUUUGGUGCUCUGAAUUUCACAUUCAAUAAAACCCCCAAAGCUUGCAUCACCCUCUGAUCUUUCAAGUAAAUAUUCAAAUUGUUAGGAUUCUUCUGAAUCUCCUGCAUCAUCUUGACAAAAUCCGGUUGCUGAAGAUACAUCCUUGUAGUUGGAUCCGCUGUCAAUUUCGCCCACAUCUCCGGCCCAGAGAACGCAUCCCCAAAGGGAUUGGGCGGCGGCGGGGAUCGCGACCUGGAAGCAGCUGCCUGAGCAUCAGCCAAACCGGACUUCAACGCUUCAUUGUUGGGAUCAAUCUCCAGCCCCUUCUUAUAAGCUGCGAUAGCAUCCUGAAUUUGGUUUAAUCCCAAGUGUGCCGCACCAAGGCGGGAGUAUCCUUUAGACCAGUCGGGCUUAAGUUCGACGGUCUUCUUGGCAUCGGCUAGCGCGUCAGCGUAGUUGUGGAGCGAAGCAAGAGCUGCAGAUCGGUUAGAGUAGAGGACGUGGUUAGAGGGGGCAAGCGAGAUAGCAUCAGUGAAGUGUCUGACGGCUCCCGCAUAAUCGCCGGCUGAGAAUGCGGCGUUGCCUUUGGCUUUGGCUUCUUCGGCCAUGAACGGAAAGCUUCAGGAAGGACAGGAGUCGCAAGAGUAAGCUAGGGAUGGUUUUCGAAGAAAUGGCGAUCUGGGAGCAGUGAUUACAGAGAGAAGUAAGGAUUAAGAGAAGUGAGGGGUAUUAUAGGCAAGCAAGUUGAGGACGAGAGAGUUCUGGUGAUUCGAG
rnacentral:misc_RNA from 1 species